rnacentral:rRNA from 1 species
UACGUAGGGGGCGAGCGUUGUUCGGAAUUACUGGGCGUAAAGGGCUCGUAGGCGGCCAACUAAGUCGGACGUGAAAUCCCUCGGCUUAACCGGGGAACUGCGUCCGAUACUGGUUGGCUUGAGUUUGGGAGAGGGAUGCGGAAUUCCUGGUGUAGCGGUGAAAUGCGCAGAUAUCAGGAGGAACACCGGUGGCGAAGGCGGGUCUCUGGGCCGAUACUGACGCUGAGGAGCGAAAGCGUGGGGAGCGAACAGG